UACAGAGGUCCCAAGCGUUGUUCGGAUUCACUGGGCGUAAAGGGUGCGUAGGCGGUCGCGUAAGUCUGAUGUGAAAUCUCACAGCUUAACUGUGAAACUGCAUUGGAUACUAUCCGGCUCGAGGAAUGGAGGGGAGACUGGAAUACUUGGUGUAGCAGUGAAAUGCGUAGAUAUCAAGUGGAACACCAGUGGCGAAGGCGAGUCUCUGGACAUUUCCUGACGCUGAGGCACGAAAGCCAGGGGAGCAAACGGG
rnacentral:rRNA from 1 species